rnacentral:rRNA from 1 species
AGUGGCGAACGGGUGAGUAAUAUAUCGGAACGUACCCUGGAGUGGGGGAUAACGUAGCGAAAGUUACGCUAAUACCGCAUACGAUCUAAGGAUGAAAGUGGGGGAUUCGCAAGAACCUCAUGCUCCUGGAGCGGCCGAUAUCUGAUUAGCUAGUUGGUAGGGUAAAAGCCUACCAAGGCAUCGAUCAGUAGCUGGUCUGAGAGGACGACCAGCCACACUGGAACUGAGACACGGUCCAGACUCCUACGGGAGGCAGCAGUGGGGAAUUUUGGACAAUGGGCGCAAGCCUGAUCCAGCAAUGCCGCGUGAGUGAAGAAGGCCUUCGGGUUGUAAAGCUCUUUUGUCAGGGAAGAAACGGGUUUUUCUAAUACAGAGAUCUAAUGACGGUACCUGAAGAAUAAGCACCGGCUAACUACGUGCCAGCAGCCGCGGUAAUACGUAGGGUGCAAGCGUUAAUCGGAAUUACUGGGCGUAAAGCGUGCGCAGGCGGUUUUGUAAGACUGUCGUGAAAUCCCCGGGCUCAACCUGGGAAUGGCGAUGGUGACUGCAAGGCUAGAGUUUGGCAGAGGGGGGUAGAAUUCCACGUGUAGCAGUGAAAUGCGUAGAUAUGUGGAGGAACACCGAUGGCGAAGGCAGCCCCCUGGGUCAAAACUGACGCUCAUGCACGAAAGCGUGGGGAGCAAACAGGAUUAGAUACCCUGGUAGUCCACGCCCUAAACGAUGUCUACUAGUUGUCGGGUUUUAAUUAACUUGGUAACGCAGCUAACGCGUGAAGUAGACCGCCUGGGGAGUACGGUCGCAAGAUUAAAACUCAAAGGAAUUGACGGGGACCCGCACAAGCGGUGGAUGAUGUGGAUUAAUUCGAUGCAACGCGAAAAACCUUACCUACCCUUGACAUGGCAGAAAUCCUCGAGAGAUUGAGGAGUGCUCGAAAGAGAAUCUGCACACAGGUGCUGCAUGGCUGUCGUCAGCUCGUGUCGUGAGAUGUUGGGUUAAGUCCCGCAACGAGCGCAACCCUUGUCAUUAGUUGCUACGAAAGAGCACUCUAAUGAGACUGCCGGUGACAAACCGAGGAAGGUGGGGAUGACGUCAAGUCCUCAUGGCCCUUAUGGGUAGGGCUUCACACGUCAUACAAUGGUACAUACAGAGGGCCGCCAACCCGCGAGGGGGAGCUAAUCCCAGAAAGUGUAUCGUAGUCCGGAUUGUAGUCUGCAACUCGACUGCAUGAAGUUGGAAUCGCUAGUAAUCGCGGAUCAGCAUGUCGCGGUGAAUACGUUCCCGGGUCUUGUACACACCGCCCGUCA